AUGAACGCUAGCUACAGGCUUAACACAUGCAAGUCGAGGGGAAACGACAUCGAAAGCUUGCUUUUGAUGGGCGUCGACCGGCGCACGGGUGAGUAACGCGUAUCCAACCUGCCCACCACUUGGGGAUAACCUUGCGAAAGUAAGACUAAUACCCAAUGAUAUCUCUAGAAGACAUCUGAAAGAGAUUAAAGAUUUAUCGGUGAUGGAUGGGGAUGCGUCUGAUUAGCUUGUUGGCGGGGUAACGGCCCACCAAGGCGACGAUCAGUAGGGGUUCUGAGAGGAAGGUCCCCCACAUUGGAACUGAGACACGGUCCAAACUCCUACGGGAGGCAGCAGUGAGGAAUAUUGGUCAAUGGGCGAGAGCCUGAACCAGCCAAGUAGCGUGCAGGAUGACGGCCCUAUGGGUUGUAAACUGCUUUUAUAAGGGAAUAAAGUGAGCCUCGUGAGGCUUUUUGCAUGUACCUUAUGAAUAAGGACCGGCUAAUUCCGUGCCAGCAGCCGCGGUAAUACGGAAGGUCCGGGCGUUAUCCGGAUUUAUUGGGUUUAAAGGGAGCGUAGGCCGGAGAUUAAGCGUGUUGUGAAAUGUAGAUGCUCAACGUCUGCACUGCAGCGCGAACUGGUUUCCUUGAGUACGCACAAAGUGGGCGGAAUUCGUGGUGUAGCGGUGAAAUGCUUAGAUAUCACGAAGAACUCCGAUUGCGAAGGCAGCUCACUGGAGCGCAACUGACGCUGAAGCUCGAAAGUGCGGGUAUCGAACAGGAUUAGAUACCCUGGUAGUCCGCACGGUAAACGAUGGAUGCCCGCUGUUGGUCUGAAUAGGUCAGCGGCCAAGCGAAAGCAUUAAGCAUCCCACCUGGGGAGUACGCCGGCAACGGUGAAACUCAAAGGAAUUGACGGGGGCCCGCACAAGCAGUGGAGUAUGUGGUUUAAUUCGAAGCAACGCGAAGAACCUUACCAGGUCUUGACAUCGAGUGACGUACCUAGAGAUAGGUAUUUUCUUCGGAACACAAAGACAGGUGGUGCAUGGUUGUCGUCAGCUCGUGCCGUGAGGUGUCGGCUUAAGUGCCAUAACGAGCGCAACCCCUCUCCUUAGUUGCCAUCAGGUGAAGCUGGGCACUCUGGGGACACUGCCACCGUAAGGUGUGAGGAAGGUGGGGAUGACGUCAAAUCAGCACGGCCCUUACGUCCGGGGCUACACACGUGUUACAAUGGCAGGUACAGAGAGACGGUUGUACGCAAGUACGAUCAAAUCCUUAAAGCCUGUCUCAGUUCGGACUGGGGUCUGCAACCCGACCCCACGAAGCUGGAUUCGCUAGUAAUCGCGCAUCAGCCAUGGCGCGGUGAAUACGUUCCCGGGCCUUGUACACACCGCCCGUCAAGCCAUGAAAGCCGGGGGCGCCUAAAGUCCGUGACCGUAAGGAGCGGCCUAGGGCGAAACUGGUAAUUGGGGCU
rnacentral:rRNA from 1 species